rnacentral:rRNA from 1 species
AUUGAACGCUGGCGGCAUGCUUUACACAUGCAAGUCGAACGGCAGCGGGGGCUUCGGCCCGCCGGCGAGUGGCGAACGGGUGAGUAAUGCAUCGGAACGUGCCUAGUAGUGGGGGAUAACUACUCGAAAGAGUGGCUAAUACCGCAUGAGAUCUAUGGAUGAAAGCAGGGGACCUUAGGGCCUUGUGCUACUGGAGCGGCCGAUGGCAGAUUAGGUAGUUGGUGGGAUAAAAGCUUACCAAGCCGACGAUCUGUAGCUGGUCUGAGAGGACGAUCAGCCACACUGGGACUGAGACACGGCCCAGACUCCUACGGGAGGCAGCAGUGGGGAAUUUUGGACAAUGGGCGCAAGCCUGAUCCAGCCAUGCCGCGUGAGUGAAGAAGGCC